AUACAUCUCUACAGACCUGGAGCAGUUAAUGUCUGCUGCUAAGGUCUCCACUACAGUUGUAAGAAAAAGGUCUUUGCACUUUUUGUCUGUCUGAUUUUGGCACCCGAGAUUGAAUGGGAGAAUACAGGA
ensembl:snoRNA